GGGCCCGUAGCUCAGUUUGGCCUAGAGCGCCUGUCUUAUAAGCAGGAGGUCCUGGGUUCAAAGUGAACCUUUUUCAGAAAAGGUUCAAUCCAAAAGGAGCUGACUCUCGAUGUCUCUUGUCCUAUAAUGUUGGAGACAAGACUCGAGCCAGCUUCCUGGAGAAUGAAAAUCCCAGCGGGCCCA
rnacentral:tRNA from 1 species